UUUGGUUAAUUAGAAAGGGCGACGGUGGAUGCCUUGUACACUAGGAGUCGAGUGAAGGACGGGACAACGCCGAUAUGCUCGGGGAGCUGUAAGUAAGCUUUGGAAUCCGAAGAUUUCGAAUGGGAAACCCACCAUACUAAUGGUAUGGUAUCCUUAUUCUGAAAUACAUAAGGGUGGAAGACAGACCCAGGAUCUGAAAACAUCUAAGGACCUGGAGGAAAGAAAGCAAAAUGCGAUUUCCUGCUAGUUCGGCGAACGGAAAGCGGAACAUGCCCAAACCAAGAGGCUUGUGCUCUUGGGUUGUAGGACAUUCUUACGCGAGUUUACAAAGGAAACGAGUAGACGAAGGACCUGGAAAAGGUCGUCGUAGAGGGUACAACGCCCGUAAGUGCGAAACUUCGUUCUCUCUUGAAUGUAUCCCUGAGUACGGCGGAACACGUGAAAUUCCGUCGGAAUUCUGGGAGGACCAAUCUCCCAAGGCUAAAUACUUCCGCUUAGUAUCGAAGUUGAACCAGUAAGCCGUGAGGGAAAGGUGAAAAGCACCGCCGGAAGGGGAGUGAAAGAGAUCCUGAAACGUGUGCCUACAAAUAGUCAGUAGCCCGUUAACGUGAUUGGCGUGCCUUGUUGUAGAAAUGAACCGGCGAGUUAAGAUCGCGUGCGAGGUGAAGCUGAAGAGGCGGUAGCCGCAGCGAAAGCCAUCUGAAUAGGUGCGUUAGUACGUGGUCGUAGACCCGAAACCAGGUGACGACCCAGUUCCAGGUGAAGUUCAAGGUACACUGAAUGGAGGCCCGAACCGCACGCACGUUGAAAAGUGCGGGAGAGGUGUCAGGUAGUCGGAGAAAAUCCAAUCGAAUCUGGAGAUAGCUGGUUUCCCGAAAUAGCUUUAGGGCUAGCCUUAAGUGUAAGAGUCUUGGAGUGUUAGAGCACUGAUUGGACUAAGGGGUCUCUCAAUCGGAUUCUGACUUCAGCAAACCCGAAUGCCAAUGACUUAAUCCUUAGGAGUCAGACUGGUCGAGUGAUUGAAGAUCCGUAGUCAAAAGGGAAACAGCCCAACGCUCAGCUAGUCCAAAGUGUUAUUAAGUGGAAAAGGAUGUGGAGUUGCUUAGACAACUAGGAUGUUUGGCUUAGAACAGCCACCAUUUAAGAUCGCGUAAUAGCUCACUAGUCGAUUGACUCGCGGCGAAAAUUUUUUACGCGGGGCUAAGACACACCGAUAGUGCGAUUGUACGAAAUGGUAUCAGUGGUAGGGGAGCGUUCUAAGGACACGUAAACGUCGACCGUAAGGACUGAUGGAAAGUGCUUAGAAGUGAAGAAGCCGGUAUGGAUAGCGAAAGACGGGUGAGAAUCCCGUCACGAAUGCCUAAGUUUCCUGAGGAAGGCUCGUCCGUCAGGGUUAGUCAGCGAACUAAGAGCCGAGGCCGACCAGCGUAGCGAUGGACAACGGUGAUAUCUGUACCACUCUUUAUCGUUGACGCAAAUGGAGGGACGCAGAAGGAUAGAAGACGUGCGAUUGGUUUGCACGUCCAAGCAGUUAGGCUGAUAAGUAGGGCAAUCCCCUUAACAUAAAGGCUGAGCUGGAUGGAAGCGCCUUAUGGAGCGAAGUGCUUUGAUUCCCCCCUGCAAAAAAGCUUCUAGCGAGAUAAAAGGUGCUGUACCGCAAACCGACACAGGUAGCGAGGAGAGAAUCCUAAGUGUGCGAGAGACUCGGGUUAAGGAACUCGGCAAAAGCGGCAAAAUGACCCCCGUAAUUCGGUGAAGAAGGCGGUGCUUUUUUAACGCGAAGCCGCAGUGAAUAGCCCAAGCGACUGUUUAGGCAAAAACACAGCUCUCUGCGAAGCCGUAAGGCGACAGUAUGGAGGUGGACACUGCCCGGUGCUGGAAAGGUUAAGGAGAGGGUUAGGCGUAAGCGAAGCUCUGAACUGAAGCCCCAGUAAACGGGCCGUAACUAUAAACGGUCCUAAGGUAGGCGAAAUUCUUGUCGGGUAAGUUCCGACCGCACAAAGGUGUAACGAUUUUGGCACAUGUUAACCAGAGAUCGGUGAAUGUAUAGUACCUGUGAAGAUGCAGAGUACCCGCGACAGGACGGAAAGACCCCGUGGAGCUUUUACUGUAGCCUGAUUAUUGAUUUUGGUACAGUUUGUCAGGAUAGGGCGGAGCCAUUGCAACGGGAGCGCUAGCUCGGUGGAAGGCGCUGGGGGUACCGCCCUGCUGUAUUGAAUUCUACCUACGGGCUUAUCGACCCGGGAGACCAGUGUCACGUGGGCAGUGGGACUGGGGCCGGUUCGCCUCCUAAAGUGUAACGGAGGCGCCCAAAGGUUCCUCAGAAUGUUGGAAAAUCAUUCGAGAGUGCAAAGCAUAAGGGAGCUUGACUGCAGAACCUACAAGUCGAGCAGGGACGAAGUCGGGCAUUUAGUGAUCCGGUGGUUCCGCAUGAGGGACCAAUCGACUCAAACGGAUAACAAGCUACCCCGGCGUAUAAAGGCGAUUAUCUCCCCAAGAGAUCCACAUCGACGGGGAGGUUUGGGCACCUCGAUGUCGGCUGCAUCGCAAUCACUGGGUUGUUAGUCUGGUCCCAAGGGUUGGGCUGUUCGCCAUUAAAGCGGUACGCGAGCUGGGUUCAGAACGUUGUGAGACAGUCGGAUCCCUAUCCGUCUUGGGCGUAGGAAUUUGAGAAGCUCCUUAGUACGAGAGGACCGGGAUGGAGGACCCGCGGAUGUACAGAUUGUUUCGCCAAGGGCAUAGGGGCCCUCCGGGUAGCUAUUGCGCGAAGGGAUCAAGUGGCGGAAGCACUAAGCAUGAAGCCCCCCUCAAGAUGAGAUUUCCCAUGGCGUAACUAGUAAGAUCCCUGAAAGAUGAUCCAGGUUGAUAGGUUCGAGGUGGAAGCAUGGUGACAUGUGGAGCUGACGAAUUACUAAAAGAUCGAAGGACUUAACCUAUA
rnacentral:rRNA from 1 species